GCGAACGUGGCGGAAUUGGCAGACGCACCAGACUUAGGAUCUGGCGCCCAAAAGGCGUGGGAGUUCGACCCUCCCCGUUCGCACCA
rnacentral:tRNA from 1 species